rnacentral:rRNA from 1 species
UGCGGGGCCCAUCUCGGGUUACCAAAUUAAGAUAAACUCCGAAUGCCAAUCACGUAUGUCCGGGAGUCAGACAGUGAGUGAUAAGAUCCAUUGUCGAAAGGGGAACAGCCCAGAUCGUCAGUUAAGGUCCCUAAGUGUGUGUUAAGUGGAAAAGGAUGUGAAGUUGCAUAGACAACUAGGAUGUUGGCUCAGAAGCAGCCACCAUUUAAAGAGUGCGUAAUAGCUCACUAGUCGAGUGCCAUUGCGCGGAAAAUGUACCGGGGCUAAACAUAUUACCGAAACUGCGGGUGUACUUUAAAGUACGCGAUAGGAGAGCGUUGUAUAGGCAAUGAAGGUAGACCGUGAGGACUGCUGGAGCGUAUACAAGUGAGAAUGCCGGUAUGAGUAGCGAAAAGAAGGGUGAGAAUCCCUUCCACCGAAAGCCUAAGGUUUCCUGAGGAAGGUUCGUCCGCUCAGGGUUAGUCGGGACCUAAGCCGAGGCCGAAAGGCGUAGGCGAUGGACAACAGGUUGAGAUUCCUGUACCACCUUGUUCCGUUGACGACGGGGGGACGCAGGAGGGUAGAGAAUCGCGCGACUGGUUGUGCGCGUCCAAGCAGUGAGGCUGAAGAGACAGGCAAAUCCGUCUCUUCUUAAGGCCAGGCUGUGAUGGCGAGGGAAGUUUUAGUACCGAAGUUCUUGAUCUCACACUGCCAAGAAAAGCCUCUAAGGAGGAACAAGGUGCCCGUACCGCAAACCGACACAGGUAGGCGAGGAGAGAAUCCUAAGGUGCUCGGGAGAACUCUCGUUAAGGAACUCGGCAAAAUGACCCCGUAACUUCGGGAGAAGGGGUGCCCCGGUAGGGUGAAUAGCCCGAGGGGGCCGCAGUGAAGAGGCCCAGGCGACUGUUUAGCAAAAACACAGGUCUCUGCAAAGCCGCAAGGCGAAGUAUAGGGGCUGACGCCUGCCCGGUGCUGGAAGGUUAAGGGGAAGAGUUAGCUCACGCGAAGCUCUGAACCGAAGCCCCAGUAAACGGCGGCCGUAACUAUAACGGUCCUAAGGUAGCGAAAUUCCUUGUCGGGUAAGUUCCGACCCGCACGAAAGGCGUAACGAUCUGGGCACUGUCUCAACGAGGGACUCGGUGAAAUUUAAAUACCCGUGAAGAUGCGGGUUACCCGCGACAGGACGGAAAGACCCCAUGGAGCUUUACUGUAGCUUGAUAUUGAGUGUUUGUGCAGCUUGUACAGCAUAGGUAGGAGCCGUAGAAAUCGGGACGCUAGUUUCGAUGGAGGCAAACGUGGGAUACUACCCUCGUUGUAUGAACACUCUAACUCACACCAC